rnacentral:misc_RNA from 1 species
AAAGUCGUAACAAGGUUUCCGUAGGUGAACCUGCGGAAGGAUCAUUAUUGAACAAAACUGGGUUAGGUUGCUGCUGGCUCUUAGGAGCAUGUGCACGCCUAUUCCAAUUGUUUCUAACCACCUGUGCACAUUGUGUAGACCUGGGAUAGUUUUCAAGAAAAAUUUUCUUGAUUUGAGAAUUGCUGUAUGUACACAAGCCAGCUUUUCUUGCGUUUCAGUGUCUAUGUUUUUUUACACACACUAUUGAAAUUUAUUAGAAUGACUUGAUAAUAGGCCUUUGUGCCUUUGAAAUUAAAUACAACUUUCAACAACGGAUCUCUUGGCUCUC